CCUUACGGGUGGCUGCAGUGGGGAAUAUUGGACAAUGGGCGAAAGCCUGAUCCAGCCAUGCCGCGUGUGUGAAGAAGGCCUUCGGGUUGUAAAGCACUUUCAGUGGGGAAGAAAGCCUUGGGGCUAAUACCCUCGAGGAAGGACAUCACCCACAGAAGAAGCACCGGCUAACUCCGUGCCAGCAGCCGCGGUAAUACGGAGGGUGCGAGCGUUAAUCGGAAUUACUGGGCGUAAAGCGCGCGUAGGCGGUCUGAUAAGCCGGUUGUGAAAGCCCCGGGCUCAACCUGGGAACGGCAUCCGGAACUGUCAGGCUAGAGUGCAGGAGAGGAAGGUAGAAUUCCCGGUGUAGCGGUGAAAUGCGUAGAGAUCGGGAGGAAUACCAGUGGCGAAGGCGGCCUUCUGGACUGACACUGACGCUGAGGUGCGAAAGCGUGGGUAGCAAACAGGAUUAGAUACCCUAGUAGUC
rnacentral:rRNA from 1 species